rnacentral:rRNA from 1 species
GACGAACGCUGGCGGCGUGCUUAACACAUGCAAGUCGAACGGAAAGGCCUCUUUCGGGGGGUACUCGAGUGGCGAACGGGUGAGUAACACGUGAGUAACCUGCCCUUGACUUUGGGAUAACUUCAGGAAACUGGGGCUAAUACCGGAUAGGAGCUCCUGCUGCAUGGUGGGGGUUGGAAAGUUUCGGCGGUUGGGGAUGGACUCGCGGCUUAUCAGCUUGUUGGUGGGGUAGUGGCUUACCAAGGCUUUGACGGGUAGCCGGCCUGAGAGGGUGACCGGCCACAUUGGGACUGAGAUACGGCCCAGACUCCUACGGGAGGCAGCAGUGGGGAAUAUUGCACAAUGGGUGGAAGCCUGAUGCAGCAACGCCGUGUGCGGGAUGACGGCCUUCGGGGUGUAAACCGCUUUCGCUCAUGACGAAGCUUUGUGUGACGGUAGUGGGUAAAGAAGCACCGGCUAACUACGUG